rnacentral:rRNA from 1 species
UUUAGAAAGGGGGUGGGUAACAAAGGUUUCCGUAGGUGAACCUGCGGAAGGAUCAUUG